rnacentral:lncRNA from 1 species
UGCAUGUGAGACGAUACACACGCAAAUCAAUUGUCUCAAUUCUACUUGUGUUUAGGAACGUCUGGGAUUCAUUCAUCUUGCAUCAGUUGCACUUGUGUUUAGGAACAUCGGGGAAUAUAAAAGCAGACGAGAUUAGUGUGAUUGUAGAAUCGUGGGGGCAUGACUCCACGUGAAUUUAAAUGUUAGUGCUUAUACCUAG